rnacentral:pre_miRNA from 1 species
AACCUACUCCCUUCGUUUCGAAUUACUUGUCGCGGAAAUGGAUGUAUCUAGAUGUAUUUUAGUUUUAAAUACAUCCAUUUCUAUGACGAGUAAUUUGGAACGGAGGGAGUAGGUG